UACAGAGGUGGCAAGCGUUGUUCGGAAUUACUGGGCGUAAAGGGCGCGUAGGCGGCCUUCUAAGUCAGACGUGAAAUCCCCCGGCUUAACCUGGGAACUGCGUCUGAUACUGGGAGGCUUGAGUAUGGGAGAGGGAUGUAGAAUUCCAGGUGUAGCGGUGAAAUGCGUAGAUAUCUGGAGGAAUACCGGUGGCGAAGGCGGCAUCCUGGACCAUAACUGACGCUGAGGCGCGAAAGCUAGGGGAGCAAAC
rnacentral:rRNA from 1 species